UUUUCCUCCUCCUGGCAGAUGUGAUCGAAUGAAUGACAUGUAAAAGACUUAGAAUUGUUUACUUCUGAAAAGCGACUCUAUACUUUUGUCUGCGAGUUCACUCAUUUGCAUCCGUCAGAAACACAAAAUCACCGACAAAAUUGCUAGUGUGAACCAGGCUUUAAGCAGAAAUAAUAAGAUAGAUAAGAUAAAACUUUUUUAGAUGCGCUUACUCCUUACUCCAAAAGGUUAGUCAACCCCAUAAGAGUCGGACGUGUUUUUAUUAGCUCCGGUAUUAAAAUUUAAAAGGUACAUGAAUAAAGUAACAUAACACACACUAAUAAUAUAAAUAUUAUAUAUAUAUAUAACAAAGAGUAACUAAAGCAGGCUAGUGUAUAAGGGGAAAGACAUUUUCUGGAUCAGUUACUAGGCAUCUCACUCCAUCUAAUGUUGAAGGAUUUUGUAGAUGGAAACUAAGGAAACUUCGAGUGUUCCUGGAUAGGUCUAAUAAACGUAUAAAAUUCACACUCGAAAAUUCCAUCUAAAAAACACUUCAACAUUGGCACAGAAUAGAGACUGUCUUUAUUCUGUGAUAUUGGAGUGGUUAAGAUUGACAUCGACGGCAGACCACUAACCACAAACUUCAAUUCACAUUUGAAGGAAAGUUCUACAAGUUUCCGAAGGUUUGGACAAGUUUUUAGUCAAUUUAUUCUUCAAUUUUAAUGUACAAAUUGUCCUAAUUUCAAGUAGUUUACAGUUGAUCUCAAAAAACGACUAAAAUUAACCUCUCUAAUAACUAAACUGGCUACGCAGUCAAAUUGCUACGCAGCCUUCGUUGAAUUCAGAAAAAAACUACAACUAUAAACUGCAUGAUAUAAUAUUAUGUUGCUGCUUCGUUCUCAAUAAAAAAUAUAUAAUGAUUUUAAAUGUUGUUGCUUCGUUGUCAACAAAUCAUGCAAUAUAGCCAAUAUAUCAAUACAACAGUCAACAUGUUGUUGCUUCGUUCUUCAUUUCACUGCGUAGCCAAAUGACUGCGUAUAGCCAUUUCACUGCAGUUGACUACGAAGCCACUUGACUGCUUGAAGCUUUUUAUGGCAGGGUAUUCUGCAAUUGCUCCUCUUUUACUAUUUGUAUUUCAACCUACGGGUUGCGAAGCCUAUAUUUCUUAUAAUAAAACUAAUCUAAAAUCUAAUAUCAAUGUAAACACCUAAAUCUAAAUACUUUUGACUGCUUGUCAAAGUAUUGUAGUUUGCGUGAGAGUUUUCUCAACUCUCGGCGCUCCGGUAAAACGAGAACAAGAGUUGCAUGAGAGUUAUAUAUAAUUGAUGAGAGUUGAGAUGUGAGAGUUUGCAUGAGAGUUUUCUCAACUCUCGUGCCCCAAACGAGAACAAGAGUUGCAUGAGAGUUGAUGAUAAUUGACUGGAUAUUUACCUUUACUAUACUAUAUUUACUCUCAUAGUAAACUCUCAUCAAAUUUGAACCAACUCAAUAGUUGAUAAGAGGUGACGAGAGUCGAUGAGAUUUUGCAACUCUCAUUUCACCGAGACUUUAUACUCCUAAACUUAUAACUUGUAUAAAAAUAAAAUUUACACACACUUUUAGAGUCUAAUAAAAAAU